UUAAGCGACUAAGCGUACACGGUGGAUGCCCUGGCAGUCAGAGGCGAUGAAGGACGUGCUAAUCUGCGAUAAGCGUCGGUAAGGUGAUAUGAACCGUUAUAACCGGCGAUUUCCGAAUGGGGAAACCCAGUGUGUUUCGACACACUAUCAUUAACUGAAUCCAUAGGUUAAUGAGGCGAACCGGGGGAACUGAAACAUCUAAGUACCCCGAGGAAAAGAAAUCAACCGAGAUUCCCCCAGUAGCGGCGAGCGAACGGGGAGCAGCCCAGAGCCUGAAUCAGUGUGUGUGUUAGUGGAAGCGUCUGGAAAGGCGCGCGAUACAGGGUGACAGCCCCGUACACAAAAAUGCACAUGCUGUGAGCUCGAUGAGUAGGGCGGGACACGUGGUAUCCUGUCUGAAUAUGGGGGGACCAUCCUCCAAGGCUAAAUACUCCUGACUGACCGAUAGUGAACCAGUACCGUGAGGGAAAGGCGAAAAGAACCCCGGCGAGGGGAGUGAAAAAGAACCUGAAACCGUGUACGUACAAGCAGUGGGAGCACGCUUAGGCGUGUGACUGCGUACCUUUUGUAUAAUGGGUCAGCGACUUAUAUUCUGUAGCAAGGUUAACCGAAUAGGGGAGCCGAAGGGAAACCGAGUCUUAACUGGGCGUUAAGUUGCAGGGUAUAGACCCGAAACCCGGUGAUCUAGCCAUGGGCAGGUUGAAGGUUGGGUAACACUAACUGGAGGACCGAACCGACUAAUGUUGAAAAAUUAGCGGAUGACUUGUGGCUGGGGGUGAAAGGCCAAUCAAACCGGGAGAUAGCUGGUUCUCCCCGAAAGCUAUUUAGGUAGCGCCUCGUGAAUUCAUCUCCGGGGGUAGAGCACUGUUUCGGCAAGGGGGUCAUCCCGACUUACCAACCCGAUGCAAACUGCGAAUACCGGAGAAUGUUAUCACGGGAGACACACGGCGGGUGCUAACGUCCGUCGUGAAGAGGGAAACAACCCAGACCGCCAGCUAAGGUCCCAAAGUCAUGGUUAAGUGGGAAACGAUGUGGGAAGGCCCAGACAGCCAGGAUGUUGGCUUAGAAGCAGCCAUCAUUUAAAGAAAGCGUAAUAGCUCACUGGUCGAGUCGGCCUGCGCGGAAGAUGUAACGGGGCUAAACCAUGCACCGAAGCUGCGGCAGCGACGCUGAUGCGUUGUUGGGUAGGGGAGCGUUCUGUAAGCCUGCGAAGGUGUGCUGUGAGGCAUGCUGGAGGUAUCAGAAGUGCGAAUGCUGACAUAAGUAACGAUAAAGCGGGUGAAAAGCCCGCUCGCCGGAAGACCAAGGGUUCCUGUCCAACGUUAAUCGGGGCAGGGUGAGUCGACCCCUAAGGCGAGGCCGAAAGGCGUAGUCGAUGGGAAACAGGUUAAUAUUCCUGUACUUGGUGUUACUGCGAAGGGGGGACGGAGAAGGCUAUGUUGGCCGGGCGACGGUUGUCCCGGUUUAAGCGUGUAGGCUGGUUUUCCAGGCAAAUCCGGAAAAUCAAGGCUGAGGCGUGAUGACGAGGCACUACGGUGCUGAAGCAACAAAUGCCCUGCUUCCAGGAAAAGCCUCUAAGCAUCAGGUAACAUCAAAUCGUACCCCAAACCGACACAGGUGGUCAGGUAGAGAAUACCAAGGCGCUUGAGAGAACUCGGGUGAAGGAACUAGGCAAAAUGGUGCCGUAACUUCGGGAGAAGGCACGCUGAUAUGUAGGUGAAGUCCCUCGCGGAUGGAGCUGAAAUCAGUCGAAGAUACCAGCUGGCUGCAACUGUUUAUUAAAAACACAGCACUGUGCAAACACGAAAGUGGACGUAUACGGUGUGACGCCUGCCCGGUGCCGGAAGGUUAAUUGAUGGGGUUAGCGCAAGCGAAGCUCUUGAUCGAAGCCCCGGUAAACGGCGGCCGUAACUAUAACGGUCCUAAGGUAGCGAAAUUCCUUGUCGGGUAAGUUCCGACCUGCACGAAUGGCGUAAUGAUGGCCAGGCUGUCUCCACCCGAGACUCAGUGAAAUUGAACUCGCUGUGAAGAUGCAGUGUACCCGCGGCAAGACGGAAAGACCCCGUGAACCUUUACUAUAGCUUGACACUGAACAUUGAGCCUUGAUGUGUAGGAUAGGUGGGAGGCUUUGAAGUGUGGACGCCAGUCUGCAUGGAGCCGACCUUGAAAUACCACCCUUUAAUGUUUGAUGUUCUAACGUGGACCCGUGAUCCGGGUUGCGGACAGUGUCUGGUGGGUAGUUUGACUGGGGCGGUCUCCUCCUAAAGAGUAACGGAGGAGCACGAAGGUUGGCUAAUCCUGGUCGGACAUCAGGAGGUUAGUGCAAUGGCAUAAGCCAGCUUGACUGCGAGCGUGACGGCGCGAGCAGGUGCGAAAGCAGGUCAUAGUGAUCCGGUGGUUCUGAAUGGAAGGGCCAUCGCUCAACGGAUAAAAGGUACUCCGGGGAUAACAGGCUGAUACCGCCCAAGAGUUCAUAUCGACGGCGGUGUUUGGCACCUCGAUGUCGGCUCAUCACAUCCUGGGGCUGAAGUAGGUCCCAAGGGUAUGGCUGUUCGCCAUUUAAAGUGGUACGCGAGCUGGGUUUAGAACGUCGUGAGACAGUUCGGUCCCUAUCUGCCGUGGGCGCUGGAGAACUGAGGGGGGCUGCUCCUAGUACGAGAGGACCGGAGUGGACGCAUCACUGGUGUUCGGGUUGUCAUGCCAAUGGCACUGCCCGGUAGCUAAAUGCGGAAGAGAUAAGUGCUGAAAGCAUCUAAGCACGAAACUUGCCCCGAGAUGAGUUCUCCCUGACUCCUUGAGAGUCCUGAAGGAACGUUGAAGACGACGACGUUGAUAGGCCGGGUGUGUAAGCGCAGCGAUGCGUUGAGCUAACCGGUACUAAUGAACCGUGAGGCUUAACCUU
rnacentral:rRNA from 1 species